UAUGUGUUUGUCUGUUUGCUCUGUCUAUGUGUUGUCCUUGCUCUUUGUCUAGGUGUUUGUCCUGUUUGCUCUUGUUCUAUGGUGUGUGUCCUGUUUGCUCUUGUUCUAUAGUGUUUGUCCUGUUUGCUCUUGUUCUAUAGUGUUUGUCCUGUUUGCUCUUGUUCUAUAGUGUUUGUCCUGUUUGCUCUUGUUCUAUGGUGUUUGUCCUGUUUGCUCUUGUUCUAUGGUGUUUGUUCUGUCCUGUGUGGUUCAGUGAACUGUGGGAGGCCUGAUGUGGACUAUAACGGGAUGGUGUACGGGAACGACUGGUGGGUGGGCUCAGUUGUCCGGUAUGCCUGUCGCUCUGGCUUCCUAUUGGUGGGGGACCCUGCCCGAGCCUGCCAGUCCAAUGGAGGCUGGACCCCCAAACCCUCCUGUCUCAGGGUGUGUCAUCAGGGCCGCGUGGAGAUCACUGAGAAGGAGCUAGAAACAGCUACCUGCUCCUCCACCUGUCCCCUUAAGUCCUACAUGGGGCCUCUUAAGCAGGGCUGCUACGGCAUCGACAACUGCAGGAAGAUGAAUCCUGACUGGAAGCGCUGGUUCACCCGCUGUGACACGUGCCUGUGUGAUUGCCACAUCGCCUGUGUCAUGGUCUGGGUCCUCCAGUCUCCUCAUGGGCCCCAAUAGUACUCCCCCUUCCACCACCGAGCUGGAGUAGACCUGACCAACCAAUUCUCCAUUGGACAAGCUCACUCUCACACAGACAGCCUGAUAGGCACUGCCACCCUCACUGGACCUACAAGAUGCAACAAGAACCCAAGAUAAUGAAGGCUUAUUAUGACCCUUCAAGUGGGUAUGUACUCUUUAGUGUUCAAUAUGAAACCAUGAUAACCGUAAAUUAAAAGACAUGUAAUAGCAUUAUGUAGUAUUAGUGACAGUUUAAUGUGUACGCUGACAUUUACUUUCAUAUUCAAUCAACCGACAUGAGCGAUACUGUUUGCAGGACAUGACCUACAGCAACACAAUAUAUAGAUGUGAAUGUGGCACUAUAGCUGUAAUAUGUCAGAGCACCCAAUAAAUAUAAUUGGAACUCACCUCCCUGUGCGAGUGUCCCCAGUAUCAACAGCUGCAGAAGAGCCACAGAGAGGAGAGUUGUAAGUCCUGGUGCCAUUAUGAUGAUACUACCUGCGUCUCAAAUCCAGAUGUCUCUUGCUUUGUCACACACACACACACAAGAGCACUUCUUCAACUGUACCUGACUCCAGUGAUCCCCGUUUGAGCACAUUCCAGCCCCAUGUUGCCAUAGUUUAUGUUUCUUAUUUAUCUAUUCAGCAAAAGGCAUUGUGGAAUAAGGUCAACACGCUCUUUAAGAACUCACGCGUAUGACAAAUCAAGACUCCUAAGAAAAUAGCUUUUCUUUCAAAUGUUCCCUUUUGCUCCAUUUAAGAACUUUUUUCACAAGGCCAUUCUUCAAGCAUAUUGUGAAUAGAAAGUGAUGUUAGCUUGUCAUUGAUAUAAUAAAGCAGAAAUCUGCAUUGACGUUGAGUAAUGAUCUAUCUUCGCCCUCUGAUCCUGUGUUCCCUCAGAUGGCAUGGUGAAAUAUGAGGUGAAUACAAUAUAAAGGUAAAGAGCCUGGAGACAGUGGACACUAAGUGGACUUAAUCCUUCCUCAGAUAUAACCUCGGGGAGCUUUAUGCUCUAUUCUAAUGCAUUAAUAUCCUUAUUUAAAUUAGCAGUUUUCUGAAGGCUUUGCAAUGACUGUAUUGUUGAAACAUGUUUUUCUGCAGUUUUCCAGAAUCCAGAGUUUCAAUACUGGCCAAAACAUGAUAUAUUAUUGUUAAAGCUUUUCCUAGCAUUGCUGUGUUGUGCUCAAUGUCAACAAUCUCAAAAUAACCCAUGACUGUGUUAAUAUCUAUAAUAACCACAUGGUGUUGCUGCAGUCCCAACACCAAAACAUUAAAGGCUUGGAAAC
ensembl:lncRNA